GCAGCAGCACAAGGUGUAUUGCGCGGUUCGGUUCCACCAGCGGACGAGGCCACAAGCGCUACAGAGCCGAAAGGACGAGGGUCACGCACGGCGAGAGCUGCUCCUGGGGACCGGCCUGUCCCUGCCGGGGGUCCCCGCGGCGCCGAGGGCGAUGCAGGAGAGGAGGGGACAGGUCCGGCCGCGAUCCAUCACCUCGCGUUGAUCCCGAGGUUACGGCAGCAGCUGCUCCCCACUCCCACAGUGGUGUGGCCGGAGAAGCAAAGCCCCCUCCCCGUGCUGGGGGGGUCUAAAGAGCCAUGAAACCCACGACCCAUCACUUCGAAACACGCACACAGAAAAAGAAAGCAGUUCUGAAAACCCAUUACAAAGCAGAGGUCAAUAUAGAAACACCACCCCCCAGCUCCCUACUCGCUGAAUAACUAUCCCCAGGAAAAGGAAAACAAACACUUAAAUACAACUUCAUAAAUAUUACAUCGUGAAAAAAAUCCGAGACUUGGUUUUCUUCCCGCCUGGUUAAAAACAAAACAAAAGGGGUUAGGAGGGAAGAUAAGAAACAAGCGUCUAAUAUAGACAGUUACUUCGGCUAUAAAGUGUAACCUGCUGGGUUGAGUCAGAGGUAGCCGGGAGGGAGAAGGGAAGAUCCAGCACAGGCAGCCCCGAGCCGACCUUCCUCCCGCUCCCGGCUCUCGUCGUGACGUUAAAUUGGCGUCGAAAGGUUCAAGAGCCCUUGAGAACCAGUUUAUAAACAGGGACUGUCCUCAACACCCCACCGCCCGCCCCCUGCGGAUCCGGACCCCCAGGGACAGGCCCUUCCAUCCCUGGGGGUCCGGACACCCAGGGUCUGGCCAUUCCACCUCUGCAGAUCCAGACACCCAGGGACUGGCCAUUCCAUCCCUGUGGAUCCGGACACCCAGGGUCUGGCCAUUCCACCUCUGCAGAUCCGGACACCCAGGGACUGGCCAUUCCAUCCCUGUGGAUCCAGACACCCGGGGACAGGCCCUUGCAUCCCUGUGGAUCCGGACACCCAGGGUCUGGUCAUUCCAUCCCUGUGGAUCCAGACACCCGGGGACAGGCCCUUCCAUCCCUGUGGAUCCGGACACCCAGGGUCUGGCCAUUCCACCUCUGCAGAUCCGGACCCCCAGGGACAAGCCCUUGCAUCCCUGUGGAUCCGGACACCCAGGGUCUGGCCAUUCCAGCCCUGUGGAUCCGGACACCCAGGGUCUGGUCAUUCCAGCCCUGGGGAUCUGGACACCCAGGGACUAGCCCUUCCAACUCUGGGGAUCCAGACCCCCAGGGUCUGGCCAUUCCAUCCCUGUGGAUCCAGACACCCAGGGACAGGCCAUUCCAUCCCUGUGGAUCCGGACACCCAGGGUCUGGCCAUUCCAGCCCUGUGGAUCUGGACACCCAGGGACAGACGAGGAAAACAAGAAAGAAUACAAAAAAAUGCUUUCUUAAAAAAAUACCAGCUUGCGUCACAUCCACUUUCAGAGGUUCAAGUGGAAGGUGGGAAGAGACUUGGCUCUGAAACAUCAACUAAACAAAAAAGUCCCUUUCUACAGCACUACAUUCUGUUUCCUCAGCAAUCAUUGCUAGUUAGUAGAGAAACCCCUUGCACUACCACAAGGGUAAGCUUUAAAUUACUUUUUUAAUAUAUAUAACCCCCCCCCCCCCCGGUGGAUUCUGACCCAUCAGGAACACGGGCAAGAGUCACUUCAUUUCUUUUAAAAAAGCAUUUUGUGAAAAUAAAGCUCAGUCCAACAUCUGCUCCGAGAUCUCUGGAAGGCUGCAGCCGGUGCGGGCCGGGCAUCACUGCGGGGAAAGGGCAGCAGGAACGCUCCCCCCUUCCAGCUUUUUAGUUGAGUUAAAACCAAAUCAGACUCCAAAAGCUCCACGCUUGUGCGGAGGCACGAGUCUGUCCCACUCGAGUAGGAAUCUCUUGUUUCAAGCUGCCAGGAGCACCGGUGUCAACCACAGCUACGACACAGGCAAAGGUAUCACAAGGGAGCCAAGCUGUAAAAAUCAGGCC
ensembl:lncRNA